rnacentral:lncRNA from 1 species
CCAAUCCCACCCUUUGUGGGUGACCUCCCGUUCCUCGAAAACCUCAUGUUCCACAAGCUCCCAAAUCUCAUUGGCCCCAUCCCACCUACCAUUGCAAAACUCAACAACCUCAAAUACCUUGACCUAAGCUGGAACGGUCUCUCUGGUCCUGUCCCCAGCUUCCUCGGCUCCCUUUCCAAUCUCGAUGUUCUCGACCUCUCCUUCAACCGUUUCACUGGCUCCAUCCCUAGCUCUCUUGCCAACCUCCGCCGCCUUGGAACUCUCCAUUUGGAUCGAAACAAAUUGACAGGACCCAUACCCGAAUCAUUUGGAAACUUCAAGGGAAAAGUCCCUUAUCUCUACCU